rnacentral:tRNA from 1 species
GGGCCCGUGGUGUAGCUCGGAUAGCACGCUUGGCUUCGGACCAGGAAACGGGGGUUCAAAUCCUCCCGGGCUCG